CACCUUGGCAAAUAGGAGAGUCUUUGCUCAGAGAAUACACACGUACGACGAUGCAAAGGAAGGCAAGCAAAAUCAGACCAUCGGACCGCUGCUAGAGCGGAGAGCUUCACGUUCAUCAUUCGCUCAUUCUCACACAUCAUAAGACUCAUCGAAGGGGUGAGCAUACGAUUGCGACGAAGAGCAUGAUUAGUUUUACCCAGUUCGCGCACAACGCUGCACGCAAUAGACCGUCGCCGGUCAGUGUCAUCCAGUUCGUAGGGACGCCAAUUAAAGACACGGCAGAAAAUUGUCUGGUCCGCGAGAAAAGCAUCCGCUUUGCCGAAUUUUCAGCAGUAAAAUCACUGAAUGCAAGGGAAAAUCACAGUCUGGAGUGUGGACGCUAGCGCCGCCAUCUUGCAAGGAAGCCGGCAAAGAAUACCCGGUGCAGACAAUAAUUUUAUCCUGCUCAUUGGGCAACUAGCCACAGCUGAACAGUUUGACAUCCACGAGAAAGCAAGGCCAUCGUGCGAUUCAUCAAACCGUGAGAGAAGUUCUUCGGAACAAAUCACGUGGCGGAUUGCUUAGACCAAG